rnacentral:rRNA from 1 species
UGAGGAAUAUUGGUCAAUGGACGCAAGUCUGAACCAGCCAAGUAGCGUGCAGGAUGACGGCCCUAUGGGUUGUAAACUGCUUUUAUAUGGGGAUAACGUGGGGAACGUGUUCCCUUUUGCAGGUACCAUAUGAAUAAGGACCGGCUAAUUCCGUGCCAGCAGCCGCGGUAAUACGGAAGGUUCGGGCGUUAUCCGGAUUUAUUGGGUUUAAAGGGAGCGUAGGCCGUUUGGUAAGCGUGUUGUGAAAUGUAGGAGCUCAACUGCUAGAUUGCAGCGCGAACUGUCAGACUUGAGUGCGCACAACGUAGGCGGAAUUCAUGGUGUAGCGGUGAAAUGCUUAGAUAUCAUGACGAACUCCGAUUGCGAAGGCAGCUUCCGGGAGCGCAACUGACGCUAAAGCUCGAAGGUGCGGGUAUCGAACAGG